rnacentral:rRNA from 1 species
GACGAACGCUGGCGGCGUGCUUAACACAUGCAAGUCGAGCGGAAAGGCCCUUCGGGGUACUCGAGCGGCGAACGGGUGAGUAACACGUGAGUAACCUGCCCCAGACUUUGGGAUAACCCUCGGAAACGGGGGCUAAUACCGGAUACGACACAGCUUCGCAUGGGGUCUGUGUGGAAAGUUUUUCGGUUUGGGAUGGGUUCGCGGCCUAUCAGCUUGUUGGUGGGGUGAUGGCCUACCAAGGCGACGACGGGUAGCCGGCCUGAGAGGGCGACCGGCCACACUGGGCCUGCGACACGGCCCAGACUCCUACGGGAGGCAGCAGUGGGGAAUAUUGCACAAUGGGCGGAAGCCUGAUGCAGCGACGCCGCGUGAGGGAUGACGGCCUUCGGGUUGUAAACCUCUUUCAGCAGGGACGAAGCGUAAGUGACGGUACCUGCAGAAGAAGCGCCGGCCAACUACGUG